UUGGCAGCAUGCAUGGGGCUCCAGGCUGGGGGAUGCAGCUCUGUGCUCUCUGUGGCUGAGAGUCUAAGUGGUAUAAAAUGGACUGAGCUGAAGCUUUCCCGUGCCAAGCAUCACACACAGCUCUGAUCAGCUGGACAGCUGCAGCCACAACUUGGUCCUCUCAGCUCAGCCAGCAACGUGUGCUGGAGAGCUUGGGAUGUGGUGCCCACAGAGACAAAGACAAGGCAGCCUGUGAAUCCUCUUCAAGGAGCUGCAGUGGUGCUGGCUGUCACUGGUUGUCCUUUUGGGGGACUGGAGUGCAUCUGCUGUGUCCCUGUCCAGUGUGGGGACAGCAAUGAUUUGCUUUUCAAGAGGAAAUAAAUUGAUUUCAUUUGGU